UACGUAGGGCGCAAGCGUUGUCCGGAAUUAUUGGGCGUAAAGAGCUCGUAGGCGGCUUGUCACGUCGGGUGUGAAAGCCCGGGGCUUAACCCCGGGUCUGCAUUCGAUACGGGCUAGCUAGAGUGUGGUAGGGGAGAUCGGAAUUCCUGGUGUAGCGGUGAAAUGCGCAGAUAUCAGGAGGAACACCGGUGGCGAAGGCGGCCGACUGGGCCGACCCUGACGCUGAGGCGCGAAGGCGUGGGGAGCGAACGGG
rnacentral:rRNA from 1 species